rnacentral:rRNA from 1 species
CUACGGGUUGCAGCAGUGGGGAAUAUUGGACAAUGGGCGCAAGCCUGAUCCAGCAAUGCCGCGUGAGUGAAGACGGCCUUAGGGUUGUAAAACUCUUUCGCUAGGGAAGAUAAUGACUGUACCUAGUAAAGAAGUCCCGGCUAACUCCGUGCCAGCAGCCGCGGUAAUACGGAGGGGACUAGCGUUGUUCGGAAUUACUGGGCGUAAAGAGUUCGUAGGCGGACUGACAAGUUAGAGGUGAAAUCCCAGGGCUCAACCCUGGAACUGCCUUUCAAACUGUCAGUCUAGAGACCGGAAGAGGUUAGGGGAAUACCUAGUGUAGAGGUGAAAUUCGUAGAUAUUAGGUGGAACACCAGCGGCGAAGGCGCCUAACUGGUCCGGUACUGACGCUGAGGAACGAAAGCGUGGGGAGCAAACAGGAUUAGAUACCCUAGUAGUC